GUCAUUUUCAUCUACACUUUUUCACAAGAAAACUACUCAAUAUGUUCAAGAAUGAAAUAAAAAACUGAAUCUGAACGACGAUACAUUACAGAACAGAUUUCGUAAACCACAAAUUCGCCUAUUUCUGUUUUCAAAUAAGUACAACUUGUUCAGUCGUUUACACAGAUGUUCGAAAAUCUAUCAAAAAAUUCAUUUCAAGACGAUUCUUACGUCAUAUCACAUCGCGUGUAAUGUACGUAAUUUUCAUUCGCUUUCGAAUAAAAAAUUAUGACUGCAAAAUUUCAAGGCUUUAAUACACUCGUAUCGCAGUUAUUGAAUGUGAAAGACUAACAGACCAAGUUCGAUUAAGCUUUCCCGAAAAAUUCAGCAGCAAUAUGUCAAUCAAAUUCUUGAUAAUUUUUUCGGUCAUUUUUUACUCUUGUUCGAUUUUUUCAGGAGUUGAUUCGUUGUAUCAUAUAUUUUUUUCUAGCGCAAAUCAGUGGAACUGCACCAGAAUUUGCGACAAAGAGUUCUUAAACGUUGUCUACGAUAUUCAAGAUCUUUGCGACCAAAAAUGUGAAAAUAAAUGUACAGCUAAAUGUGAAAAAAUUGGCAUAAAGCUGCGAGACACAUACGGUAAAUAUGGAUCAUUCCAAUAUAAGAUCGUAACUUGCAGGGAUAACUUCGAUAAGAAGAUAAAAUUAUGCGUGAGCGCGGAUAAGGAAAGUGGAGUGAUUUAUUUCAAAUACGAUUACAGCGAAGGAGGGUGUAUUAGCGAGUACCUUGAUGAACAAGACUUGCAAUCUCGAUUAUAAAAAUUUGUGAUUUUCGUAAAUUAAUUCCAUUUUUUUUUCAUAAUUUUCUAUCAUUAAGAUACUUUUUAAUUGGGAUCUAUGCGCCAGGUCAACCUGGUCUCUUUCAGCAAUUUGUUUUCUUUAAUCAUAAAUACACAUAAAUUUUUCAA